rnacentral:rRNA from 1 species
CGGGGGGGCAAGCGUUGUUCGGAAUUACUGGGCGUAAAGGGUUCGUAGGUGGCCAACUAAGUCAGACGUGAAAUCCCUCAGCUUAACUGGGGAACUGCGUCUGAGACUGGAUGGCUUGAGUGCAGGAGAGGAACGCGGAAUUCCAGGUGUAGCGGUGAAAUGCGUAGAUAUCUGGAGGAACACCGGUGGCGAAGGCGGCGUUCUGGACUGCAACUGACACUGAGGAACGAAAGCCAGGGGAGCAAACGGGAUUAGAUACCCCGGUAGUCCUGGCCCUAAACGAUGAAUGCUUGGUGUGGCGGGUAUCGAUCCCUGCCGUGCCGAAGUUAACGCGUUAAGCAUUCCGCCUGGGGAGUACGGUCGCAAGGCUG